GGGAGAUAGCUGGUUCUCCCCGAAAGCUAUUUAGGUAGCGCCUCGUGAACUCAUCUUCGGGGGUAGAGCACUGUUUCGACUAGGGGGUCAUCCCGACUUACCAACUCGAUGCAAACUGCGAAUACCGAAGAAUGUUAUCACGGGAGACACACGGCGGGUGCUAACGUCCGUCGUGAAGAGGGAAACAACCCAGACCGCCAGCUAAGGUCCCAAAGUCAUGGUUAAGUGGGAAACGAAGUGGGAAGGCUCAGACAGCCAGGAUGUU
rnacentral:rRNA from 1 species